UCCAGUUCUGGGGUGGGUGGUUCACAGUGGGCUCUUCUAGGCUCUGAAGGGAACACGCUUUCCUUAUGUAUUACAGCUUCCAAGACUACCUGCAGCCUUAUUUCAGAGCCCCUUGUUCAGGACACCUUUGCAUGGCUCUGUCUCUGGCUUCCUUAUUGAGGCUUCUGGUGGCAGACUGAAUGGUUCAGUGCUGGCUUCUAAUACGUCCCCACCAUGAUCUGCAGAACUCAGCCCAACAAAACCUGGAGGCAGUCCAGCGUGAGUGGAGGCAGGUGGAUUGGAGGAGGGCACGAAGCUUCUGGAUAUAAUCUUCUGUAGUUUGAAUCUUAAAUAUCUCCAAAGGAGUUAAUAUGAC
rnacentral:lncRNA from 1 species